rnacentral:rRNA from 1 species
AUUGAACGCUGGCGGCAUGCUUUACACAUGCAAGUCGAACGGUAACAGGCCGCAAGGUGCUGACGAGUGGCGAACGGGUGAGUAAUACAUCGGAACGUGCCCAGACGUGGGGGAUAGCUCGGCGCAAGCCGGAUUAAUACCGCAUAAGCUCUGAGGAGGAAAGCGGGGGACCGUAAUGCCUCGCGCGCUUGGAGUGGCCGAUUGCGGAUUAGGUAGUUGGUGGGGUAAAGGCUUACCAAGCCUACGAUCUGUAGCUGGGCUGAGAGGACGACCAGCCACACUGGGACUGAGACACGGCCCAGACUCCUACGGGAGGCAGCAGUGGGCAAUUUUGGAAAAUGGGCGCAAGCCUGUUCCAGCAAUGCCGCGUGCAGGAUGAAGGCCUUCGGGUUGUAAACUGCUUUUGUACGGAACGAAAAGGCGCCUACUAAUUCUGGGUGUUGAUGACGGUACCGUAAGAAUAAGCACCGGCUAACUACGUGCCAGCCGCCGCCGUAAGAC